ensembl:lncRNA
CCCGCCACAGGCACAUGUGAACAUAAAUGCGUGCUGUGCGGCAGGGACCAGUCCCCCAGCUGCACAAAGGCAGCGUCUACACGACGGGUGACCACGCACGGGGCAACAUCGCAGCGAGGGACUCGGACUGCCUGGGCGCCUCACCUGAAAGAUGAUGCAGAAAGCGCCCGCUGCGGGUCUCCUGAGACAAACAUGUGAAGCCCCUCCUUGGCCUGCUCUGCCGCAAGUCAUUAAUCAACUUCUUACACCUCAUCUGAAGGAGGGACAGCUCCGUUUCCUCUCCCUGCCAGCCAGCUGGACGAGCACUAGGGAGGACCGGCUCAGAGCCCUGGGUGGCACAUCCUCAGCCGCGACGGAGCGCAGUGUGUUUGGGUGUCGCCCUUGGGGCUACUCGUGAGGUGACCACUUGUGUACGGUGCCUGAUGCUUCUGUUGCUGGAGCAAUGGAGAAAGAUACCACUUGGCCACAGGCCUUCAAGAUUUUAUCAGUUUUCUCCGAGGACUCACAUGUCAGAGGCACUGUGGGGACCACGGGACAUUCCCUGGUAGGUGGCUUUUAAGUAAAGAAAGAGACAAAAAAACCCCACAAAGAGCAGCUUGAGACAUUGUACACAGGCUCAGUUGGUCACACUGUGUUCGAGUCGUUACCCUUAUUUCUGCACAGUGACUUCUUUCAUCUCCAGACACCAGGAUCUCCAAGGUGCCUUGCAGCCUCCCGGCGACAGGCAGCAUCACACCCCACACUCUUUGUAUAAUGCUCCUACUUCCUAAGCGUCUCUGCAGGUUGCAUAACUCCACACCUGUUGCCUUGUUUAUAAAGAAUAAUAACAUGACGUCACAGGAGAAAGGACAGGGCUGUGAAGGGCCAGGAGCAAUGCCAUGCACAAACGGGCUCUCACUAGCUUCCCCUCUCCCAGGUCCCCUUCUUCCGGACUCAGCUGCAUAAACACAUGUCAGAGCUGUGGGUAGGCUUUCCCCGAACCCCACGACCACCACGACCACCGAGGCAGGGCCCUAGCCUGAACUUAGUGCUCCAGGACAAGAGACUGAGACUUGUCUUUUUAUUUUCAUUUUCCCUAUUUUUGGGGGGUCUGUGUGAUUUCUUGGCAACAGCCCCACUGGUGGUGGGAAAAUAUGUGCUUGCUAUUUGGGGAGCAGCAGCUUGCUCCUGGAGCCCCUCCCCUCUGAUACUCCUGCAACGCAGAGCUCCGUGCUGCACGCCCUCCCCUCAGAGUGGCGUCCAGAGUCUGUCUUGCUGUCAGUGAAACUGGCCUCAGAAGCAUCUUUCAGCUGCUUCAAAUUUGGCUUGGGAUUGACAGUCUCCCCUUCUCUUCUGGUUAGUCUCGUGGUGGCCUGCUUCCUCCUCCCCAGGAAAGCAGAAGAGCUUGGCCCACUCCUGCACUUCUGCUCCUCCGGGUGGUUCUGCCGUCUGCCCAGUGGCUCAGGUAUGAGCUCUCAUGCUAUCCUCCCUGCGGAAUCCUCCUCCUUGUCACAUUGUGUCACCCCUUGGCAUCUUUUGGCUUGAUUUCCUUCACGCUCUCCAUCCGGUGCUGUGCUGUGCUCCCUUCUAUGGCUCCUCAUGCGUUCUCCAUUCUAAGCAGCAAACAUACUGAAUUAUAUUCAUUUGUUCUCCUAUUUUUCCCACGGGUCUUUGAAAGUUCUGGAGGACAGGGCCUACGCAUUAUGUGUUUCUUUAUCCUCGGUGCCUAGUACACUGUUUCAAGUAAAUGUUUCCUACAGAAAUAAAAGAAUAAGUGCAAAAUAUUGCGCCUGAAAUUGGAAAGACUUCUGUGCCAGCGAGCAGAUCAGGGUUUGAGGAGGAGCUUUCUAAAGCUGCACAUUGCACUUGCAGUCCUAGCUCGUCCACCUCGGGCCCCAGUGAGAUGGUGCCCACUGAUUGUUAUCAACCCUCAGUGACUGGUUGGCCCACUCUGUGGCACAGCAGAGAGUGUUCCAAGGAAGCAGGCUGCCCUGGUGGCUGCUCCCUGGCAACUUGACACGUUCCAAGCUGGGCUUCUGUGUUUCCACACCCUCUGUUCCGCACUCCAGAGAGAUCUGUGAGCGUCACACAGCGCCUCUCCCGGCUCCUCUACGCUGCCAUCCAGUUGGUCACUAAGUUUGCCACCACAUUUUCACAACAUCUCGUGAGUUGGUCUGCUCCUCCACAGUGCUGCUCAGUUCCUGCCCUCAUCAGUACUGAGCCGAACUUCUGCACUAGGCGGACCAACUUCCCCAGCAGAGCCAAGCAGCACUGCAGAGAGCAGAGUUCUCUGCUGACACGUGCUUCACGGAGCUCUGUGGGUGUCCUUCUCUGCCUGCUAGACUGUGAGCCAGUGGGUGCAGGAAGUAUGUGCACUCCAUAAAUGUAUGAUUCAGUUUCCGUUAAUGCAAUUUGAAACUUAUGGACAG